AGGCAAAUCCGGAAAAUCAAGGCUGAGGCGUGAUGACGAGGCACUACGGUGCUGAAGCAACAAAUGCCCUGCUUCCAGGAAAAGCCUCUAAGCAUCAGGUAACAUCAAAUCGUACCCCAAACCGACACAGGUGGUCAGGUAGAGAAUACCAAGGCGCUUGAGAGAACUCGGGUGAAGGAACUAGGCAAAAUGGUGCCGUAACUUCGGGAGAAGGCACGCUGAUAUGUAGGUGAGGUCCCUCGCGGAUGGAGCUGAAAUCAGUCGAAGAUACCAGCUGGCUGCAACUGUUUAUUAAAAACACAGCACUGUGCAAACACGAAAGUGGACGUAUACGGUGUGACGCCUGCCCGGUGCCGGAAGGUUAAUUGAUGGGGUUAGCGGUAACGCGAAGCUCUUGAUCGAAGCCCCGGUAAACGGCGGCCGUAACUAUAACGGUCCUAAGGUAGCGAAAUUCCUUGUCGGGUAAGUUCCGACCUGCACGAAUGGCGUAAUGAUGGCCAGGCUGUCUCCACCCGAGACUCAGUGAAAUUGAACUCGCUGUGAAGAUGCAGUGUACCCGCGGCAAGACGGAAAGACCCCGUGAACCUUUACUAUAGCUUGACACUGAACAUUGAGCCUUGAUGUGUAGGAUAGGUGGGAGGCUUUGAAGUGUGGACGCCAGUCUGCAUGGAGCCGACCUUGAAAUACCACCCUUUAAUGUUUGAUGUUCUAACGUUGACCCGUAAUCCGGGUUGCGGACAGUGUCUGGUGGGUAGUUUGACUGGGGCGGUCUCCUCCUAAAGAGUAACGGAGGAGCACGAAGGUUGGCUAAUCCUGGUCGGACAUCAGGAGGUUAGUGCAAUGGCAUAAGCCAGCUUGACUGCGAGCGUGACGGCGCGAGCAGGUGCGAAAGCAGGUCAUAGUGAUCCGGUGGUUCUGAAUGGAAGGGCCAUCGCUCAACGGAUAAAAGGUACUCCGGGGAUAACAGGCUGAUACCGCCCAAGAGUUCAUAUCGACGGCGGUGUUUGGCACCUCGAUGUCGGCUCAUCACAUCCUGGGGCUGAAGUAGGUCCCAAGGGUAUGGCUGUUCGCCAUUUAAAGUGGUACGCGAGCUGGGUUUAGAACGUCGUGAGACAGUUCGGUCCCUAUCUGCCGUGGGCGCUGGAGAACUGAGGGGGGCUGCUCCUAGUACGAGAGGACCGGAGUGGACGCAUCACUGGUGUUCGGGUUGUCAUGCCAAUGGCACUGCCCGGUAGCUAAAUGCGGAAGAGAUAAGUGCUGAAAGCAUCUAAGCACGAAACUUGCCCCGAGAUGAGUUCUCCC
rnacentral:rRNA from 1 species